UACGUAGGAGGCAAGCGUUGUCCGGAAUUACUGGGCGUAAAGCGCGUGUAGGUGGUGGGACAAGUCUGAUGUGAAAGCGCCUGGCUUAACCGGGCGAGGUCGGCGGAAACUGUCCGACUCGAGGACGGUAGAGGGGGGUGGAAUUCCCGGUGUAGUGGUGAAAUGCGUAGAGAUCGGGAGGAACACCUGUGGCGAAGGCGGCCCCCUGGGCCAGUCCUGACACUGAGACGCGAAGGCGUGGGGAGCGAACGGG
rnacentral:rRNA from 1 species